UAAUCUAUUUGGGGCAGAUCCUCAUUAGUUAUGGAAAACCCAUACCUGACUACUCAGAAUCACCCAUUAUCGCAAUCUCGACUACAUCAUUGACAUUGAAAAAUAAAGGACAACUACUGUGUUAACAAUAACUUUUUAAUAUUUU
rnacentral:pre_miRNA from 13 species